AUUGUUUUUAUUGAAAAAUAAUACAGGCAAGCUGUGAAAUCAUUUGUUGUAUUAAAAGUUACAGAACAAGAACUAGUUUUUGUAUUCUGUAACUUAAGAAGCAAAAUAUUCCACAAAAUGCUAGUACUGAAUUUAGAACUGCACUUAGCCUUUUGUAAGGAACUGAGAGCAUUAAACUGCAUUGCUGACAUACAAGAAUGCCUGUAUAAUAAAGCACCUUUUGUUCUGAUAAUGAGUGGAUUUAGCUUAGGUGGAAAACAUCAGAUAUUUACCCAUCAGGCCAUGAUAAGACAUCACCAUUUAUUUGGGAUUGAGAUUCUCCAAAACUUAGGUAAUUCUUUUGAAAGGGAAAAAAAAUCUAUUUCUUUUCUGGAGACAGACAUUCUUAGUUCUUUUCUAAAAGCAAUGACAUGUAAGCCCAAGGCAAUGCUUAACCCAUGAAUUACAGCAAGGUCACAUUUUGGAAACGUUAGCUAUUUUGAAUCCCAGUGGGAUAGUCCUGGUUCUCUUACCAAAAGGCUUAUGUGUUGACUCAUUUCCUUUACCAGUAUGGCAAUUUCCUGCACACAUUUAAAGCUUUGGGCAAGAUUAGAAUAUGUUAACUGUUUUUUACUAAUCUCUUUUUCAUUAGGAAUCUUAAAACAUUUAACUCUUUCAUAGCCUACUUUGUCUACUAUCCAUAGAUAAUGUAUAUUUGGUUUGUAUGCUUUAGCUCAUUGUGUCCAUUUUGUGGCAAUACUAGUUUCCCACAUUCUGAAGAUACAGUGAGUUAUUGUGGGUUAUGUGCCUGCAUCUUUAACCACCUUGAUGCUUGUUGCAUUGGAGUCAGACCUAGGAUGUGGGUUGGUUUUAGUCUUACUAACCAGCUCGUGUAGUGUUCAGUUGUGAAUAGCAUGUUAGUGUUAGCUGUUUACAGAGUGCAUUUGCUUGACUAACUUCUGACUUUCUUACUAAUGCCUCAUGGUUGCCCACA
rnacentral:lncRNA from 1 species